UUCAUAGUGUCUAGCCAAGUAUUAUACAGCUCCUUACCUCAGCAGGGAGCUUUCGCAACUCCCGCUCCUCAAACAGAACUCCUUGUUUUUAUAUCACGAAAGACAAUGAACAAACAUUUAUCGUGUAUUACACUUCCCAGCUCAAACUGGGACCCCCAGCCCCUUCCCAUUAUGAACUGGGACCCUUAACCCCUUCCCAGUAUGAAUUGGGCCCACCCCAGUACAAACUGGGACCCCCAUACCCUUCCCAGUAUGAACUGGGCCCAUUCCACUGCAAACUGGGAACUUUCCCAGUACAAACCAGGGCUCCCAGCUCCAACCCAGCUCAAACUGGGAUUGUCCCCAGCUCAGACUGGGACCCCCAGCCCUUUCCCAGUAUGAACUGGGCUCCCCAGCCUCAUCCCAGUACAAACUGGGCCCAUUCCCAGUACAAACUGAGACCCUCAGCCUCAUCCCAGUACAAACUGGGCCCAUUCCCAGUACAAACUGAGACCCUCAGCCCUUUCCCAGUAUGAAUUGAGCCCAUCGCAGUUCGAACUGGGCCCCCCAGCCCCAUCCCGGUACAAACUGGGCCCAUUCCCAGUACAAACUGGGCGCCUUCCCUUCGCCCCGCCCCCCGUUGCCAGGUAACCGCCACCGCCGUUCCCGCCUAUUUUCCCCCCGUUGCCAUGCAGCUUCCGCCAUUUUUGUCAUCUCCCCCGUUGCCAGGCAACCGCCGCCAUUUUGUCCCCUCCCCCCGUUGCCAGGCAACCGACGCCAUUUCGUCCUGCCCCGCCGGGCUGCCCGCACUGCGCAUGCGCGCUCGCCGGCCUCCCAUUGGCUCCCGCCCCGCGGCUUCAAACGGUCCGGCGGGAGCGAUGGCGGCGGAGGCUGCGGCCGGAGGAGUGUCAAGACACGGGUUUUCCUGUUUGCAAGUCCCAGAUCCUGGUGAACAUCACCUAGGUUGGUUAACCUAGCAGCUGUGCACAGAAGCUGUCUCCAAGAACCCACAGAAACCUCGGGAAUGUUUGCACCCUGCAGUGUCCCUUUUCUGUGACAGUCUGAGUGAUUUAAGGCCCCCAGGGUGACACGGGGUCAUUAAAUUCAUCUUAGUCCAGUGGCUUCCAUAAGACUGUCUGCUUCUUCA